UACGGGGGGAGCAAGCGUUGUCCGGAAUUAUUGGGCGUAAAGAGCUCGUAGGCGGUUUGUCGCGUCUGCUGUGAAAACUGGAGGCUCAACCUCCAGCCUGCAGUGGGUACGGGCAGACUAGAGUGCGGGUAGGGGAGAUUGGAAUUCCUGGUGUAGCGGUGGAAUGCGCAGAUAAUCAGGAGGAACACCGAUGGCGAAGGCAGAUCUCUGGGCCGUAACUGACGCUGAGGAGCGAAAGCGUGGGGAGCGAACAGG
rnacentral:rRNA from 1 species